rnacentral:rRNA from 1 species
UACGGAGGGAGCUAGCGUUGUUCGGAAUUACUGGGCGUAAAGCGCACGUAGGCGGCUUUGUAAGUUAGAGGUGAAAGCCCGGGGCUCAACUCCGGAACUGCCUUUAAGACUGCAUCGCUUGAAUCCAGGAGAGGUGAGUGGAAUUCCGAGUGUAGAGGUGAAAUUCGUAGAUAUUCGGAAGAACACCAGUGGCGAAGGCGGCUCACUGGACUGGUAUUGACGCUGAGGUGCGAAAGCGUGGGGAGCAAACAGG